rnacentral:misc_RNA from 1 species
CAAGGAGCCAGGAUUUGGUGGAUGAUGUUGCAGCUGCUGCGAUUGCUUUUGCAAGGCUUGCUGAGCGCCUGAAAAGCCACCAACAGAGGAGUUCUGUACGGAUCCAGGCAUCAGGGAUACAGUCCCCUGGAGUGUAGGGGAUGGAUUAUAGUUGGGAUUAUUGAAAGAAGAUGAGGCCUCCUGUUGAUGUGGGCUGGGGUUGGAAUUCAUAGAGUUCUGUCUCAUGAGGAUAUUCUGGUAUGUAGUCAUUGCCAAAGCAGCUUGUGCUGAACCACUGAAACCUCCUCGACCAAUCAUCUGAUGGUUAUUAAUCCCAUGGUUAUCAAGUUCAGGAUGCAAUGUCAUCAGCUUAUUAAUUGUGUUGCGGUCGGUGGGAAGACCUUGAAUACUCGCUAACUGUUCCAUCUCCUGCAUUUUUUGCAUUUGGAGCUUGGCUGCAGUGGCAUGUCUAGGAUAAUUCUUCAAGCCCUCGAUAGGCCCAACUUUUUGAUCCCGGCAGAAACCAAUCAGAUCUUUCAUACUGUUGACAACCUCUGAUAUCUGCAAACACCUGACGUAUCUUUUAGAGAAACCCAAGUCAUUCAGCAACUGCAACUCCAGACUCUUAGCAAGCUGACGACCAGCUGUCAGUACCAUAUUGCUAUUUGUCUGCAAAUCUUUCUGAGAAACACCAUCCGGCCCACUUUCAGCAAUUGUGUUUUGGCAUUUCUGGGCAACCUGUACCAGCUGAUUCACCUGAGG